rnacentral:tRNA from 1 species
GCCCCUGUGGCGGAAUUGGUAGACGCGGCAGACUCAAAAUCUGUUGGUUUUUGACUGUGGGAGUUCGAGUCUCCCCGGGGGCACCA